rnacentral:rRNA from 1 species
CCUACGGGAGGCAGCAGUGGGGAAUAUUGGACAAUGGGGGCAACCCUGAUCCAGCCAUGCCGCGUGUGUGAAGAAGGCCCUCGGGUUGUAAAGCACUUUCAGUGAGGAAGAACGCCUGGUGGUUAAUACCCAUCAGGAAAGACAUCACUCACAGAAGAAGCACCGGCUAACUCCGUGCCAGCAGCCGCGGUAAUACGGAGGGUGCGAGCGUUAAUCGGAAUUACUGGGCGUAAAGCGCGCGUAGGUGGCUUGAUAAGCCGGUUGUGAAAGCCCCGGGCGCAACCUGGGAACGGCAUCCGGAACUGUCAAGCUAGAGUGCAGGAGAGGAAGGUAGAAUUCCCGGUGUAGCGGUGAAAUGCGUAGAGAUCGGGAGGAAUACCAGUGGCGAAGGCGGCCUUCUGGACUGACACUGACACUGAGGUGCGAAAGCGUGGGUAGCAAACAGGAUUAGAUACCCUAGUAGUC